UACAGAGGCCUCGAGCGUUUAGGCGGAAUCACUGGGCUUAAAGCGUGUGUAGGCGGACUUCUAAGUACCUUGUGAAAUCCCACGGCUCACCCGUGGAACUGCUUGGUAUACUGGUUGUCUUGAGCCUUCUAGGGGCGAGUGGAACAAAUGGGUGGAGCGGGUGAAAUGCGUAGAUAUCAUUUGGAACGCCAAUGGUGAAAAACAACUCGCUGGGGAAGUGCUGACGCUGAGACACGAAAGCCAGGGGAGCGAACGGG
rnacentral:rRNA from 1 species